rnacentral:lncRNA from 1 species
AGUAAUCACUUUAGUUUGUGUUUUUAAGUGUCUUGAGUCAAGUCAUAACCCAAUUUUGUCCAAUUUAGUGUUAGGUGUUCAAAACUGCCCAGAAAGUGUUUUUAAGGCAGUUUUGAGUGUUUAUUUGCUGUUUUGAAUCUUUUUGUUUAUCUUAGUAUUUUAAAGUAUAGUUUUGCAUUCUUUGAGUCUAGUUUAGCGUUUUAAACUUUGUUUUUACGUUUUCAAGUCAGUUUUCAAGUGAUUUAGCAAUCCCUCCUAAUCCCCGGCCUAGAACGAUCCCUACUUACAUACUUUACUACAUUUGAUAAAAAGAGGGUUUAAUUUGUGUGCUUAUAUAUUUCGCAUCACAAUUAAGUGUGUGCUCGAGGGUAAGGAUAACUAAAAUCUGUGGGAGUAGUGAUUUUCAACAUGUCAUGUUUCAUUGGAAAUCCCUGAGUCAAAUGUUGGAAGGUUUAGGUUAUGUUUUGUUUGUUUUAUUUUGCUCGAGGACUAGCAAAAGCUAAGUGUGGGGGAAUUUGAUAGGAGCAUAUUUAUGCGACUUAGUUAGCUUGUUUUCUUGCAUUUAUGUUGUUAGUUCCUAAUUAUUUUAGUAUGUUAAGCUAUUUUCGUGUGUUUGUAGGUCCAAAGGGCUAAAGUAGCAAGAAAGUGAAAUUUGGUGCAUUUUGGAGCAGUUUUGGGCUUGGAAUGAAUAGCACAUGCUUGGAGCAAGGUGGAUGAACGAAUUUGAAGUUCAAAGGAGGCUAGGAAUGUGCAAAGAAAUGAAGGAAAUAAAUUCAAGACAAAAGAAAUCAAAGAGCCCAGCAAUAAAGAAGGAAUGUUACCCAAGUUACCUUAUUUUAUCCUAAUCCUUUCCUAAUCCUACACCACCUAAUUUCCAGCUGCAAAGAGGAUCCUUAAUUAUUUUAGGACACUUAAAUAAUGAUUCUAGAAGGCCUAAUCCCAUUCCUAAAGGGAGCCGCACCUAUUUCUUCUAGAAACCCCUUUCCCUUGCAGUGCAAGGCAUUCCCCUUUCCCUUUAGGAUCCUGCCGCAUAUCCCUUUCCCUUUCUCUUUUGAAUUCCGACAUUUAUUGAUAGGAGCAUAUUUAUGCAACUUAAUUAGCUUGUUUUCUUGCAUUUUCAUAGCAAGUUUGUGUUUAUUAUAGUGAUUUAAGCUAUUUUCGUGUGCUUGUAGGUCUAAUUGGUAAAGUUGGCAAGAAAGUGCAUUUUGAAGCAUUUCAGAGCAAUUUUGGGCUGAAUUGGAUUGCAUGCAUGUGGAGCACAAAGAAUGGAUGUUUUUGAAGAUCAAGUGAAGCUAGGAACGUGCUAAAGAGAUGGAGAAAUCAAUUCAAGACUUGGAAGAUGAAUAAUCAGCUACAAGGGCACCUAAAUCCCUUCUAGAAGGGCUAUCCCUUCUCCUAAACAUAUGCCGCACCACCCUUUCUAGAAGCUCUAGAAAUGUGGCACCCUAAACCCUUCUAGAAGUCUCAAUUUCUGCACAAAACAUUUUUUUUUCUAGAAGCCCUAGAAAGGUGGCGCCCCAAACCCUUCUAGAAACCCUAAAAUCCUCCAGAAACCCUAGUUAUUUUCCCCCUUGGAAUGGGCCAAGCCUUAUGCCUCAAACCUGAUGUGAAGAUUAACUUAACACACAAAUUUAACCCUCUUUUGACAAUUGUAGUAUAAGUAUAAGUAAGGAUCGUUCUGGACCAGGGAUUAUGAGGGCUUGCUAAUAACCUCUAAACUGACUCAAAAACAUAAAACUAAACUUAAAAACACUUAACAAGACUCACAAGACUCAAAGCAAACUUAAAAUACUCAAAACAGCUUAAAACAACCAAAUAAACUUAAACUAGACAUUAGGAAUGACUUUGGACGAAAAUUGACUUUCACUUGAAUAAAAACACUUAAAAACAUAAGCUAAAACAGAUUUGAAACACUUUGAAACAAGAAACUAAAGGGGAGGUUUUGAUUUGGAUGAAGUUGAAACAAACAAACAAGUAUGAAAAACUAGACAUAUUGUAAAAUAAAUUUGAGAAAUAAGAUGAUGGAUGGGAUAGCUAGAGGCUUUUUCUCCACACAUGACAUGUAUGCAAACAACUCGAUUUCCAGUUACUACUUCAUUGAAUUAUGAACGACAAUGCCCCAAAUUAACUGUGACAUCACUAGUUAACCCUCAGAUUUUUCUUAUUUUAUUAGAUUGGAUGACAUCAUUCGACAACCCAAAACAUUCUUCAAAAGUUCCCUACAUGACAUCAUAAUAGAGAUACAAUCAAAGAUCAUUACGUUUAACGAAAAUCAUAAGCAUUGACAAAGCACUUGCAACUAUGACAUCAUGUCACUCAUGCUAGAAUUAAACUUAACGCGAUCGUUUAUAAGCGACCUCCACUACUUAUGAAUAUAAGUUUGUAACGAUUAUGUGAAAUUUUCUUAUAUUCUAGCAUCGGAUUUAUGCAUGCCAAUUAAGUGUCGACCCUUAAUCAACAAAUACAAAUAAGUUAUCAAUCAAAUAGUUAAGCCAAUUGCAUGCACGAUUCAAGAGUUCAUAA